UACCAGCACCCCGAGUGGUCGGGACGUUUAUUGGGCCUAAAGCAUCCGUAGCCGGUUCUACAAGUCUUCCGUUAAAUCCACCUGCUCAACAGAUGGGCUGCGGAAGAUACUAUGGAGCUAGGAGGCGGGAGAGGCAAGCGGUACUCGAUGGGUAGGGGUAAAAUCCGUUGAUCCAUUGAAGACCACCAGUGGCGAAGGCGGCUUGCCAGAACGCGCUCGACGGUGAGGGGUGAAAGCUGGGGGAGCAAACCGG
rnacentral:rRNA from 1 species